UGUGGGUAGGGGUGAAAGGCCAAUCAAACUGGGAAAUAGCUCGUACUCCCCGAAAUGCAUUUAGGUGCAGCGUCGUGGUGAGUUUGAUAGAGGUAGAGCUACUGAUAGGGCUAGGGGGCUUCACCGCCUACCAACCCCUGACAAACUCCGAAUGCUAUCAAAUAUACACGGCAGUGAGGGCAUGGGUGCUAAGGUCCAUGUCCGA
rnacentral:rRNA from 11 species